rnacentral:rRNA from 1 species
AACGUAGGUUCCGAGCGUUAUCCGGAUUUACUGGGCGUAAAGCGCGUUCAGGCGGUUCGGCAAGUCGGGCAUGAAAUCUCUCGGCUCAACCGGGAGAGGUUGUCCGAUACUGCUGGACUUGAGGGCAGUAGAGGGUGGUGGAAUUCCGGGUGUAGUGGUGAAAUGCGCAGAUAUCAGGAGGAACACCAAUGGCGAAGGCAGCUCGCUGGGACGUGACUGACGCUGAGACGCGAAAGCGUGGGGAGCAAACAGG